GGAAUAUUGGACAAUGGGGGCAACCCUGAUCCAGCGAUGCCGCGUAGGUGAAGAAGGCCUUCGGGUUGUAAAGCCCUUUAGGUUGGGAAGAACGGUGCAUGGUGAAUAGCCAUGUACUGUGACGGUACCAACAGAAUAAGCACCGGCAAACUCGGUGCCAGCAGCCGCGGUAAGACAGAGGGUGCGAGCGUUAAUCGGAUUUACUGGGCGUAAAGGGCGCGUAGGCGGUUAAGUGAGUGUGAUGUGAAAGCCCCGGGCUUAACCUGGGAAGUGCAUUGCAAACGACUUAGCUGGAGUAUGAGAGAGGGUAGUGGAAUUUCCGGUGUAGCGGUGAAAUGCGUAGAUAUCGGAAGGAACGUCAAUGGCGAAGGCAGCUACCUGGCUCAAUACUGACGCUGAGGCGCGAAAGCGUGGGGAUCAAAC
rnacentral:rRNA from 1 species